CCUACGGGCGGCAGCAGUGAGGAAUAUUGGUCAAUGGGCGCGAGCCUGAACCAGCCAAGUCGCGUGAGGGAUGAAGGUUCUAUGGAUCGUAAACCUCUUUUAUAAGGGAAUAAAGUGUGGGACGUGUCCUAUUUUGUAUGUACCUUAUGAAUAAGGAUCGGCUAACUCCGUGCCAGCAGCCGCGGUAAUACGGAGGAGCCGAGCGUUAUCCGGAUUUAUGGGGUUUAAGGGGUGCGUAGGCGGGCUUUUAAGUCAGCGGGGAAAGUCUGUGGCUCAACCAUAGAAUUGCCGUUGAAACUGGGGGGCUUGAGUAUGUUUGAGGCAGGCGGAAUGUGUGGUGUAGCGGUGAAAUGCUUAGAUAUCACGCAGAACCCCGAUUGCGAAGGCAGCCUGCCAAGCCAUGACUGACGCUGAUGCACGAAAGCGUGGGGAUCAAACAGGAUUAGAUACCCUUGUAGUC
rnacentral:rRNA from 1 species